GAUGAACGCUGGCGGCGUGCUUAACACAUGCAAGUCGAACGAUUAAGCCCAGCUUGCUGGGUGGAUUAGUGGCGAACGGUUGAGUAACACGUGAGUAACCUGCCCUUAACUCUGGGAUAAGCCUGGGAAACUGGGUCUACUACCGGAUAGGAGCGUCCACCGCAUGGUGGGUGUUGGAAAGAUUUAUCGGUUUUGGAUGGACUCGCGGCCUAUCAGCUUGUUGGUGAGGUAAUGGCUCACCAAGGCGACGACGGGUAGCCGGCCUGAGAGGGUGACCGGCCACACUGGGACUGAGACACGGACCAGACUCCUACGGGAGGCAGCAGUGGGGAAUAUUGCACAAUGGGCGCAAGCCUGAUGCAGCGACGCCGCGUGAGGGAUGACGGCCUUCGGGUUGUAAACCUCUUUCAGUAGAGAAGAAGCGAAAGUGACGGUACCUGCAGAAGAAGCACCGGCUAACUACGUG
rnacentral:rRNA from 1 species